UCGUAGCUCAACUGGAUAGAGCAUCAGACUUCGGAUCUGAGGGUUAUGGGUUCGAUUCCUAUCG
rnacentral:tRNA from 1 species